rnacentral:rRNA from 2 species
UGGCUCAGGACGAACGCUGGCGGCGUGCCUAAUACAUGCAAGUCGAGCGGACGGAUGGGAGCUUGCUCCCUGAAGUCAGCGGCGGACGGGUGAGUAACACGUGGGCAACCUGCCUGUAAGACUGGGAUAACUUCGGGAAACCGGAGCUAAUACCGGAUAAUUCUUUCCCUCACAUGAGGGAAAGCUGAAAGAUGGUUUCGGCUAUCACUUACAGAUGGGCCCGCGGCGCAUUAGCUAGUUGGUGAGGUAACGGCUCACCAAGGCAACGAUGCGUAGCCGACCUGAGAGGGUGAUCGGCCACACUGGGACUGAGACACGGCCCAGACUCCUACGGGAGGCAGCAGUAGGGAAUCUUCCGCAAUGGACGAAAGUCUGACGGAGCAACGCCGCGUGAGUGAUGAAGGUUUUCGGAUCGUAAAACUCUGUUGUUAGGGAAGAACAAGUACCGGAGUAACUGCCGGUACCUUGACGGUACC